rnacentral:misc_RNA from 1 species
AAGAACGCCCCGUUUUUUGAAAUGGGUAAUUCCCAAACCGUGUCUAUAUACCUUUGUUGCUCUGGCAGGCGCAGUCAGCCGGAGGACCCAAACUCGUUUUGUUUAGUGUCGUCUGAGUACUAUAUAAUAGUUA